UACAUGGGGUGGCAAACGUUGCUCGGAAUUAUUGGGCGUAAAGCGCACGUAGGCGGUCUACUAAGUCGGAUGUGAAAGCCCUCGGCUCAACCGAGGAAGUGCAUCCGAAACUGGCAGGCUAGAGUACGAAAGAGGGUCGCGGAAUUCCCGGUGUAGAGGUGAAAUUCGUAGAUAUCGGGAGGAACACCUGAGGCGAAGGCGGCUGUUC
rnacentral:rRNA from 1 species